rnacentral:rRNA from 1 species
GACGAACCUGACAAACGUUAUUCGGAAUUACUGGGCUUAAAGGGUGCGUAGGCGGCGUGGCAAGUUGGGUGUGAAAUCCCUCGGCUCAACCGAGGAACUGCGCUCAAUACUGCCAUGCUCGAGGGAGACAGAGGUGAGCGGAACUUAGGGUGGAGCGGUGAAAUGCGUUGAUAUCCUAAGGAACACCGGUAGCGAAAGCGGCUCACUGGGUCUUUUCUGACGCUGAGGCACGAAAGCUAGGGUAGCGAACGGGAUUAGAAACCCCAGUAGUCC